rnacentral:siRNA from 1 species
ACGUCCCUGCCCUUUGUA